GACGUAGGGGGCCAGCGUUGUUCGGAAUUACUGGGUGUAAAGGGUUCGUAGGCGGUGUGGCAAGUCGGGAGUGAAAUCUCUGGGCUCAACUCAGAGACUGCUUCCGAAACUGCUGUGCUGGAGUGUGGGAGAGGCGCGUGGAAUUGCAGGUGUAGCGGUGAAAUGCGUAGAUAUCGGGAGGAACACCUGUGGCGAAAGCGGCGCACUGGACCACAUCUGACGCUGAGGCGCGAAAGCUAGGGGAGCAAACAGG
rnacentral:rRNA from 1 species